GGAGAGGUGGUCGAGUGGUUUAAGGCGACGGUCUUGAAAAACCGCCGUGUUCGCAAGGGCACCGUGGGUUCGAAUCCCACCCUCUCCGCCA
rnacentral:tRNA from 1 species